AGGGAAAUAGCUCAGUGGUAGAGCACAUGCUUAGCAUGCAGGAGAUCCUGGGUUCAAUCCCCAGUGCCUCCA
rnacentral:tRNA from 1 species